CGGGUGAGUAACGCGUGGGUAACCUGCCUUAUACAGGGGGAUAACAGUCAGAAAUGGCUGCUAAUACCGCAUAAGCGCACAGAGCUGCAUGGCUCAGUGUGAAAAACUCCGGUGGUAUAAGAUGGACCCGCGUUGGAUUAGCUAGUUGGUGGGGUAACGGCCCACCAAGGCGACGAUCCAUAGCCGGCCUGAGAGGGUGAACGGCCACAUUGGGACUGAGACACGGCCCAGACUCCUACGGGAGGCAGCAUG
rnacentral:rRNA from 1 species